UCGUAACAAGGUUUCCGUAGGUGAACCUGCGGAAGGAUCAUUAGUGAUAUAGAAAAUCUCUUUUCUAGUCUCUAUAUACACCCUUUUGUCAACUUAUACCUUUGUUGCUUCCACUGGACAGAUGGAUACGCCCAGUUGCGCGUCCAUCCUCUGGCCUCUUCACGGAGGACGGGGAGUGCUAGUGGAAAGAAUACAAUUAAAACUUUGUCUUUAGAAAACUUGUCUGACAAUAUAUUUUUUAAUAAAAUAAAACUUUCAACAACGGAUCUCUAGGCUCUUGCAUCGAUGAAGAACGCAGUGAAAUGCGAUAAGUAAUGUGAAUUGCAGAAUCUCGUGAAUCAUUGAAUCUUUGAACGCACAUUGCGCCCUAUGGUAUUCCGUAGGGCAUGCCUGUCUGAGCGUCAGCUCGUCUUCUCAAGCUCUUUUGCUUGGAUAACAUUGGAUCAGCAAUACAAGCUCCUUUUGGGGUCUGUGUGCCUUCCAGAAAUUAAUAGGCGGUACGGUUCUAGCAAACCAGACGUAAUAAUAUUCUUAUCUAUCGUUAAUUUGUUUAAACUGUUGCUUGCCUUCUAAUCCACAUCUUUUUCAAGAUGACCUCAGAUCAGGUAGGGAUACCCGCUGAACCUAAGCAUAUCAAU
rnacentral:misc_RNA from 1 species